AAAAUUUGAAGUUGCUGUAAUGCAUUAACACAAAAAAUUUUAAGUAUUUUUUAUAAAAUAAAUUUAAUUUAAUUUAUUUAAAAAUCAUAUAAGAACAAACUAGAUAUAAAAAUGGAUUGCUGCUUCGUAAAUGAAUGCGAACGAUUUGCCGUGACUCCGGUUCUUAUGAGUCCCCAAGUUAAAUGCUGCGAAAGUGCACCAUUAUACGUACCGUGCUGCAAUGAUAAACUCGUAUAUUGUUGCGAGAAGAUACGACCUUGCACGCCGGUGGCGAGGAAAGUAUGCUACGAUAGUAACUGUGACCACACGUGUACUCUAUGCUGUGAGCCGCCGCAGAAGUUUUGUCCGACCUGUCGUCAGCCGACCGGCCCGCCUGCGAAGCCAGCAGUCAAAUACGUCAUGCCUUGCUACCGAUAUGAAGAUGGACGAAUUGAACAAUUUGAUUCCAAAAUCCACGGUAAACUCCCAGCUUCUGCUUAUAAAAGGAAUGGGAUACAAGAUCAAAUUAAUGGAUAUAGAGGGGCACGACGUGAUCUGUGCGCAGUAGAACACGAAGGCAAAUAUUAUGUUUACGCCGCAAUAGAGCCUUUUAGGAAAUUCUAUUCAAGAAUUUCUGAUGAAAAACACCCCGUGAAACUGUCGCCGAAAAAGAUUUUCGAUAAAUAGUUUAAGAGAAAAUAAAAAUAUAACUAACAUGAGUUAAAGUUGAAGUACGAAUCGGACUAAGGGUAAAUGUUAUGCCAUCGUCAGCGCUAAAACGGAAUGGCAUUCAAGACCACAAGUAUACCGAAAGCGGUGGAGUUGAUUAUUUAUGCCAAAUGCCGAACACCUCCUUGUGGUCGGAUAAACCAUUUUAUAUGCCCAUCAAGCCAUUGAAGAGAAUCGCUAAUACAGUGACUUUGAAAGGAUUAAAAUGACAGAAACCGAGUACAUCGAUGUUGUCGUUUUGAUCGUUUAGCAAUGAACUUUGAACGCGCUUGAAAUGAGUAAUGAUUCAAUCGAUAGCAUGAAUGUUACAAUUGCGGUAUGAUUACAGGUACAAAACCUGCCUGUGUCCGCAUUCAAGCGUAACGGAUUGCAAGAUCAAGAACAUUCCAAAUUGUUGGGAACCGCAAACUUCUUAGUCCGAUGUCGGAACGAUAUUGCGAUAGAUUGUGACGCGUAAAAUGUUAUGAUAUUGUUAACUGUUGUCCUGUUCCAUGAAGCCUAAUUGUUUUGUGAUUGCCGUAUUUAAUAAGAAAAAUAAAGUAUUGUUUUAUAAAUAA